UCAGGGUGGCAGAUUAUGUGUGUAACUUAGGAUUACAAUAAAGGCUGAUUG
rnacentral:tRNA from 2 species